ensembl:lncRNA
CCUUGCUGAGUUGCAGUCCAGCUGCAGAAGGCUCAGGGUGUGAUUAUCAGACUGGCUGUAAAUGGAACACACUGAGGCUUUGUUUGGGCUUGUGGGGAGUUUUUGGGACACUGCUGACAUUCAGAGGCUCCUUGAUUGCUCCAAGUCGGCAGAGUUGAGCAGAGCGUGAACGGAGAGCUGCCUGAAGCCCAAGGCGCCUCGCCAGAGCCUGUGGCGGGGGGAGGGCUUGCCGCUGGCAUCAGUGGGGGCCAGCUGGACCCCCACUCAGCCUCAGACUCAGGGUGGAACUAGGGGCUGUCGAUUUCAAGUUUCUAUUUUCAGGGAUUAAGAAGUCCCUUGGACAGCAAGGAGAUCAAACCAGUCAAUCCUAAAGGAAAUCAAUCCUGAAUAUUCACUGGAAGGACUGAUGUUGAAGCUGAAACUCCAAUACUUUGGUCACGUGAUGUGAAGAGCCGACUCAUUGGAAAAGACCUUGAUGCUGGGAAAGAUUGAAGGCAGAAGAAGGGGAUGACAGAGGGUGAGGUGGUUGGAUGGCAUCAUCAACUCCAUGGACAUGAGUUUGAGCAAAUCUGCACUAUCCAGGAGUUGGUGAUGGAUAGGGAAGCCUGGCGUACUGCACUCCAUGGGGUCCACAAAGAGUCAGACACAACUUAGUGACUGAACUGAACUAAACCAAGCUCACAGGACACCUUGAGGGGGAUGGCUGCCCUCAGGAGACAAGGCCUCCCUCCUAAGUAUCCCAGGCAGCUUCCUCCACCACCCAGCCCCACCUGACCCUCUCUGAACCCAGGCCUGUGGUUUGGCCCAUCUCCUCACCUGGCUCUGCACACACAUGGGUCCCAGAGACUCUGGCUUCUGGGUUUCUUUGAAGACAAUGUGCCUACUUAGAGCAGAUCAUUUUAAAGGUACAUUGCCUUAGAGAAACAGUGAUUUGAGUUUCCUCUACUGUGAACCUAGCAAGGGCUACGCUCUCUGCUGGACGUGUUCCUAUGUCGUAGGCUCGUCCAAGUUUUGUGUUGCUUCUCAUCUGUGAUCAAUUCAACAAAUGUGCAAUAAAUGACUAUCAC